CUGUGUCAAAACAUUUAAAACUGAAGAGGAAGCCAUUGAGCUAGCAAAUGAUACCAAGUAUGGUUUGGGUUCUGCUAUUUUGUCAAAAGACCUUGAUAGGUGUGAACGUUUCACAAAGGCUUUUCAGUCAGGGAUUGUCUAGAUCAACUGCUCGCAGCCAUGCUUUUGGCAACCUCCAUGGGGCGGUAAAAAGCGUAGUGUAUUUGGACGCGAACUUGGGCAAU